GCAGCAGCCGCGGGAAUACGUAGGUGGCAAGCGUUGUCCGGAAUUAUUGGGCGUAAAGGGCUCGCAGGCGGUUUCUUAAGUCUGAUGUGAAAGCCCCCGGCUCAACCGGGGAGGGUCAUUGGAAACUGGGAAACUUGAGUGCAGAAGAGGAGAGUGGAAUUCCACGUGUAGCGGUGAAAUGCGUAGAGAUGUGGAGGAACACCAGUGGCGAAGGCGACUCUCUGGUCUGUAACUGACGCUGAGGAGCGAAAGCGUGGGGAGCGAACAGGAUUAGAUACCCGCGUAGUCCCUGUCUCUUAUAC
rnacentral:rRNA from 1 species